GGCCUCAAAUCAGGUAGGACUACCCGCUGAACUUAAGCAUAUCAAUAAGCGGAGGAAAAGAAACUAACAAGGAUUCCCCUAGUAACGGCGAGUGAAGCGGGAAGAGCUCAAAUUUGAAAUCUGGUGGACUUUGUUCAUCCGAGUUGUAAUCUAGAGAAGUGUUUUCCGUGCCGGCCAAUGUACAAGUCCCUUGGAACAGGGCGUCAUAGAGGGUGAGAAUCCCGUACUUGACAUUGAUCACCGGCGCUCUGUGAUACAUUUUCAAAGAGUCGAGUUGUUUGGGAAUGCAGCUCAAAAUGGGUGGUAAAUUCCAUCUAAAGCUAAAUAUUGGCGAGAGACCGAUAGCGAACAAGUACCGUGAGGGAAAGAUGAAAAGCAC
rnacentral:rRNA from 1 species